rnacentral:lncRNA from 1 species
CUCAAAGGUUUAAUGGGGAUCUUGCUUAUAAAGAAGAGGGGGAGGCCCAUCCCCCACUGGUUCAUUCUUGAAGCCUGGAACCAGCUGCAGGUGGCCAAGUGCAGGAUAAGGCAUAGUCAGUCUCAUGAAUAGCUCCAGGGCCUCUCAGCAGGUAGCAAUAUCUUGAAGAGGAACAGGGACAGUGGCUGAACAAUAGAGAGAUCUAGGGAGGAAGGCUCAACCCUAGGUAAUCUUAGUGGCAGCAAAGUCAAGGUCUGGCUCAGCCUGCUUCAGGCUGAGGGGGAAGUUACAGAAGGUGUUGGAGUGCCACACCACUUUGGAGGCCUCUUUUUUUUUUUUUAACUCUUUAUUUUCUUUUUUUUUCCCCUCCGAAAGAUUCAUUUUAUUGAUACAGAGAAUAUCAAAGCUGAAUCAUACUUUUUUUUUCUUUUCCAUUUUUU